ensembl:scaRNA
GCCGUUUAAAAGAAGGUUUGCCCUGUGUGGUUGGAUCUGCCUGAGGUGGGUUCAGCCUUGUACCAGACAGCCUGACCUUGACCCAAAGUAAAUUCCUAGGUGGAAGUUUCCCUGGGUUUAGAAUUUGCAGUAAUAGAUGUGAACAUACUAGCAGCACUUUGAUGAUCAUGUAGGACACUGCAAACAGGA